rnacentral:rRNA from 1 species
GACGAACGCUGGCGGCGUGCUUAACACAUGCAAGUCGAACGAUGACGACCGAGCUUGCUCGGUCUGAUUAGUGGCGAACGGGUGAGUAACACGUGAGCAACCUGCCCUUCACUCUGGGAUAACCUCGGGAAAUCGGGGCUAAUACCGGAUAUGAGCUCCUGUCGCAUGGCGGGUGUUGGAAAGUUUGUCGGUGAAGGAUGGGCUCGCGGCCUAUCCGUUUGUUGGUGAGGUAGUGGCUCACCAAGGCGGUGACGGGUAGCCGGCCUGAGAGGGCGACCGGCCACACUGGGAAUGAGACACGGCCCAGACUCCGAAGGGAGGCAGAAGGGGGGAAUAGUGCAAAAGGGGCGAAAGCUUGAUGCAGCAACGACGAGUGAGGGAGGACGGCCUGCGGGUUGUAAACCUCUUUCAGCAGGGAAGAAGAGAAAGUGAAGGUACCUGCAGAAAAAGCGCCGGCUAACUACGUG